rnacentral:rRNA from 1 species
AGAUUGCAGGCUGCAACUCGCCUGCAUGAAGUUGGAAUUGCUAGUAAUCGCGAAUCAGAAUGUCGCGGUGAAUACGUUCCCGGGCCUUGUACACACCGCCCGUCACACCAUGAGAGCCGAUAACACCCGAAGCCUGUGAGCUAACCGUAAGGGGGCAGCAGUCGAAGGUGGGGUUGGUGAUUGGGGUGAAGUCGUAACAAGGUAGC